rnacentral:rRNA from 1 species
CCAGACUCCUACGGGAGGCAGCAGUGAGGAAUAUUGGUCAAUGGGCGCGAGCCUGAACCAGCCAAGUCGCGUGAGGGAUGACGGCCCUACGGGUUGUAAACCUCUUUUGCCGGGGAGCAACGGGCGCCACGUGUGGCGCCACUGAGAGUACCCGGAGAAAAAGCAUCGGCUAACUCCGUGCCAGCAGCCGCGGUAAUACGGAGGAUGCGAGCGUUAUCCGGAUUUAUUGGGUUUAAAGGGUGCGCAGGCGGAGGUGCAAGUCAGCGGUCAAAUUGCGGGGCUCAACCCCGUACUGCUGUUGAAACUGCAUCCCUUGAGUGCGCGAGAAGUAUGCGGAAUGCGUGGUGUAGCGGUGAAAUGCAUAGAUAUCGCGCAGAACUCCGAUUGCGAAGGCAGCAUGCCGGCUCCACACUGACGCUGAGGCACGAAAGCGUGGGUAUCGAACAGGAUUAGAUACCCGCGUAG